UAAAAGCUUUGGUGGUCAAUAACUGGAAAACUAUAUAUAUACACAUAUGGGGUUUAAUGUAUAAAUUAAAAUCUCAGAGGUUAUCCAAACUUAAGUUGACUUAGAAAUUAGAAUCACAAACACUAUACGACGAACAAGUCGUAUAUAGUUCAGUUUAAGCUCUAUUUAUACGAAAUAAUAUAAAAUCAUCGAAUUAUAUGAGAGACAGACAAAAAUAUGAUUAGUUUACAAAAUUUUUUUUUUUUUUUGUCGGCCAACUGAUCUAUUAGAUAUAGAAAUAUGUUACAAGAGAGUCAUACAUCAAGACAACCAAGUUACAACCAUAGAGGACUGAUUUGUUCUAGCUUCUCGUGCUAGACGAUCAGCUAUUACAUUAACCGUUCUUCUUAUAAAUUUGAAGUUGUAAGAGGCAUUCGUCAAAUCCAUGAUGUCUUCCAAAUAUCCUUGAAUCUCAGCAACUUCCUUAGGAGCGUCC
rnacentral:lncRNA from 1 species